GCAAUGCAGAUCAGCAUCUUUUACAUCAUUGCUCUUUCAGCGAUGCUCUUAGCUUCUCCAGGAUUCGUCCAUGCAGGGGAACCUCGUAAAUGCGAGUCUUUUGCUGGGACUUGCGAGUCUCAAUGUGAAAGGAUCAUUCAGAGUGCAACUUGUCCUGGAAAGAAGAUAUGCUGUGAGGAUGCAGGUAUUAAAGGUUAAAAUGGAAAGAAACAUCUGCUUCUUUCAGCAAUGGCUAUAACCCAAGCAACUAGAUGGAUGUGCUGCUAAUUUGGCCUGCAGAAAUACUUCCAUGAUGUGGG